AUGGCUAAGCGGUUGGUCCUCUUUGCGACAGUAGUCAUUGGCCUCGUGUCUCUCACCGUCGCUGAAGGUGAGGCCUCUAAGCAACUACAGUGCGAGCGCGAGCUCCAGGAGAGUUCGCUUGAGGCAUGCCGGCUGGUCGUGGACCAACAGUUGGCCGGCCGGCUGCCAUGGAGCACGGGGCUCCAGAUGCGGUGCUGCCAGCAGCUCCGAGAUAUUAGUGCCAAGUGUCGCCCCGUCGCCCUCAGCCAAGUCGCAAGACAAUAUGGGCAAACCGCGGUGCCGCCCAAGGGCGGAUCCUUCUACCAUCGCGAGACCACGCAACUGCAGCAACUCCAACAAGGAAUAUUUGGGGGAACAUCUUCACAAACAGUACAAGGGUAUUACCCAAGUGUAAUAUCUCCUCAGCAGGGGUCAUAUUAUCCAGGCCAAGCUUCUCCACAACAGCCAGGAAAAUGGCAAGAACUAGGACAAGGGCAACAAUGGUACUAUCCAACUUCUCUGCAGCAGCCAGGACAAGGGCAACAAGGAUAG
rnacentral:rRNA from 1 species